ensembl:lncRNA
AUCAGUUUGAGCCAGAGAAGACAAUAAAUUGAAACCUUUACUUAGAAAUAUGUAAAUAUAACACCAACUGAACAUGAAUGAAGGCUUGAACUAAAUAAUACCACAACAAAAGACUAAACGUAUCCAGACAUUGUCGAGCAGAGAACACAAAAUGGAACACCGCUACUCUUCAGUGACGUCCUGUCUGACAGGUAACGAGAAUACAACGGGACACCGCUACUCUUCAGUGACGUCCUGUCUGUCAGGUAACGAGAAUACAACGGGACACCGCUACUCUUCAGUGACGUCCUGUCUGUCAGGUAACGAGAAUACAACGGGACACCGCUACUCUUCAGUGACGUCUUGUCUGUCAGGUAACGAGAAUAAAAUGGGACACCGCUACUCUUCAGUGACGUCCCACUGUCUGUCAGGUAACGAGAAUAAAAUGGGACACCGCUACUCUUCAGUGACGUCCCACUGUCUGUCAGGUAACGAGAAAUACAACCGUCCUGAAAAAAACUAGCACUGAGAAAAUCCGAAAGGUACGUGUGAAAACAAAAGGAACCACAUUGUUGCAUUGUGGGAAUGUUAGUUAUGAAACACAAUACCGCAGUCCAUCUUUGGCUGAAUCAUCAUGCAUAUAUUCAGUUCAUUCUGGCUUCAUAUGUGAUCACACAACAAAAUAUUAAAUAUUGUAAAUAAGCUUUAGUGAACUAUAUAUAUAACUAUUACUCUAAUAGGAAACUAUACCAUACAGUAGCCAGUAGGACCAGAUAUAACUAUACCAUACAGUAGCCAAUAGGACCCAGAGAUAACUACUACUCUAAUAGGAAACUAUACCAUACAGUAACCAGUAGGACCAGGAGAUAACAACCAGGAGAUAACUAUACCAUACAGUAGCCAGUAGGACCAGGAGAUAACUAUACCAUACAGUAGCCAAUAGGACCAGGAGAUAACUAUACCAUACAGUAGCCAAUAGGACCAGGAGAUAACUAUACCAUACAGUAGCCAAUAGGACCCGGAGAUAACUACUACUCUAAUAGGAAACUAUAUCAUACAGUAGCCAGUAGGACCAGGAGAUAACUAUACCAUACAGUAGCCAAUAGGACCCGGAGAUAACUACUACUCUAAUAGGAAACUAUACCAUACAGUAGCCAGUAGGACCAGGAGAUAACUACUACUCUAAUAGGAAACUAUACCAUACAGUAGCCAAUAGGACCAGGAGAUAACUAUACCAUACAGUAGCCAGUAGGACCAGAAGAUAACUAUACCAUACAGUAGCCAGUAGGACCCGGAGAUAACUAUACCAUACAGUAGCCAGUAGGACCAGGAGAUAACUACUACUCUAAUAGGAAACUAUACCAUACAGUAGCCAAUAGGACCCGGAGAUAACUAUACCAUACAGUAGCCAGUAGGACCAGGAGAUAACUACUACUCUAAUAGGAAACUAUACCAUACAGUAGCCAAUAUGACCAGGAGAUAACUAUACCAUACAGUAGCCA